rnacentral:rRNA from 1 species
AUGGCACCAUCCAAAUCCCAUCUCGCCUUGCUCCUCGCCGUAGUUCUGAUCGCCGCCACGCCGCAGCCUUCGGCGGCCGUCAGGGAGGCCCCUGCCCCCUCCACCAGCAACGAUUUAGUAGCAAAACCAUCGGCAUGGUGCAUUCCCUGCUUUUCGUUUCUACCACAGUUAUUCUGUAUACCGCCGAUAUUCUGUCCACCUACGCCAAGUGCGCUGCCGCCGCCGCCGCCGCCAGCGAAGCCGGAGCCGAAAGAGUGUCUACCAUCGCUGAUGGGGCUGAUGCCAUGCAAGGAUUACUUCACCAACAAAACCGCGCCGGAGCCUCCAAACCAAGGCAAGUGCUGUGACGGCCUGAGGUCACUCUUCGUAAACGCUCCUAUCUGCAUAUGCCGCAUAUCGGACGACGGCGACCUCGACAAGCUCAUGUCGGCACCCGUGCAUGGAGAAAACAUCCUUCGUGUGGCGGUUAUCUGUGGCACGGCUCUGAGUGAUUAUGGAUCUUGCGAGGGUAAGUUCUUGCUCUCCGUACUAUAA